ACAUAUGUGGUGUAGCGGUAGCUACUCUUGGCCUUUGUUUAAGAGGUCACGGGUUCAAAUCCCUUUAAGAACAUGUGUG
rnacentral:tRNA from 7 species